GCUGGGAUAGCUCAGUUGGUAGAGCACACAACUCUUAAUCUCAGGGCUGUGGGUUUGAGCCCCACGUUGGACA